rnacentral:ncRNA from 2 species
UUCUUAUCUAGAGAGGUGGAGGGACUGGCCCAUCGAAGCCUCGGCAACGGGUCUAACCGUUAAAGUUAGACGCUGUGCCAAUUCCAGCAGAUGCUGAAAGCAUUUGGAAAGAUAAGAA